rnacentral:rRNA from 1 species
AUUGAACGCUAGCGGCAUGCUUUACACAUGCAAGUCGAACGAGAGGCGGACGGGUGACCAAUAUAUCGGCACGUGCCCAGUAGCGGGGGAUAACUACUCGAAAGAUUGGCUAAUAACGCACACUUUUGGAGCGGCCGAUAUCGGAUUAGCUAGUUGGUGGGGCAAAGGCUAACCAAGGCAACGAUACGUAGCUGGUUUGAGAGGAAGACCGGCCACACUGGGACUGAGACACGGCCCAGACUCCUACGGGAGGCAGCAGUGGGGAAUUUUGGACAAUGGGGGAAAGCCUGAUCCAGCCAUGCCGCGUGUAUGAGAAGGCCUUCGGAUUGUAAAGCACUUUUGUCAGAGAAGCGGUAUCUACAGAGAAAGCAACGGCGAACUACGUGCCAGCAGCCGCGGUAAUUC